CAGUUCUUUUUUGCUGUCUCCUUGCCAGUGUUCCAUAGCUCUGCAGGUUUGUUUCCCUGUCAGUGUUCAGCAGUUCUCCAGGUUACAGUUAAUAUUGGAAUGGUUACCCUGAGCAAGUCCCUGUGUCACUUUGACAGUGGCCUAGGAAAUGCCUGGAAGAUGAGGCCCACUGGCAGUUUCAGAGUAACAAGAGGAUAAAUGAUGCUGAUCUUUCUCCACACAAUGACACCUUUAAGAGAGAAAGUUACAGUCCAAACCACAUGCAUUCAGAUUGUGCAGCGUUGUGUCCGUGAACUUCCAGAGUUUGCAUUAAAAAGUGACAGGACAUCAGAGUGCCAGAAGCUUCUCAUAUUGUGGCC